rfam:TPA: Bos taurus chromosome 11, whole genome shotgun sequence.
UUGCUGAUGGUCCAGUGGCUAAGACUAUGGGCUCCCAAUACAGAGGACCCAGGUUCAAUCCCUGGUCAGGGAA